rnacentral:rRNA from 1 species
GGUCAAGUUAAAAAGAGCACUAGGUGAAUGCCUAGGCACCAAGAGGCGAAGAAGGACGCGACAAGCUGCGAAAAGCUACGGAGAGGAGCAAAUAUCCUAUGACCCGUAGAUAUCCGAAUGGGGAAACCCACCUCGUAAGAGGUAUCCUAUAGCCAAUUCAUAACUAUAGGAAGCGAACCAGGUGAACUGAAACAUCUAAGUAACCUGAGGAAAAGAAAGAAAACUCGAUUCCCUAAGUAGCGGCGAGCGAACGGGGAAGAGCCCGAUGUGUAUAAAGAGACAAUAGCCAGCCAAAUAAUCUGGGAAGAUUAACCAAAGAAGGUAAGAGUCCUGUAGACGAAAGCGAAGAUAUCCGACACAAAAGAGUACCACGGAACACGAGAAAUUCAGUGGGAAUAUGGGGGGACCACCCCCUAAGGCUAAAUACUACUUGGUGACCGAUAGCGAACAAGUACCGUGAGGGAAAGGUGAAAAGAACCCCGUGAGGGGAGUGAAAUAGAAUCUGAAACCUAGUGUUUACAAGCAGCGAAAGUGGUUUUGCACCACGAUCGUGUACUUUUUGUAGAACGGGCCAGCGAGUUACGAUUACUAGCGAGGUUAAGCAUUAAAGAUGCGGAGCCGAAGCGAAAGCGAGUCUAAAUAGGGCGGAAGUUAGUGGUUGUAGACCCGAAACCGUGUGAUCUAUCCAUGAGCAGAGUGAAGUUGAAGUAAAAUUCAAUGGAGGCUCGAACCGGGUAACGUUUAAAAGUUAUCGGAUGACUUGUGGAUAGGGGUGAAAAGCCAAACGAACACGGAGAUAGCUGGUUCUCCUCGAAAUAGCUUUAGGGCUAGCCUCUAGUAAGACAUGAAAAGGGGGUAGAGCACUGAUUGGUCAAGGGGCAUGCAUAUGUUACCAAGACCUAUCAAACUCCGAAUACCAUAUCAUGCACUAGGGAGUCAGACUAUGUGGGAUGAGCUUCAUAGUCGAAAGGGAAAGAGCCCAGACCAUCAGCUAAGGUCCCAAAAUUAUAGUUAAGUGGGAAAGGAUGUGGAGUUACUGAGACAACUAGGAUGUUGGCUUAGAAGCAGCCACUCAUUUAAAGAGUGCGUAAUAGCUCACUAGUCAAGUGACUCUGCGCCGAAGAUAACCGGGGCUAAACUAUAUACCGAAGCUAUGGAACGUAUAACGUUGGUAGAGGAGCAAUGUAUGAAGGACGAAGCAGAAGCCGUAAGGCACUGUGGACAUCAUACAAGAGAGAAUGCUGGCAUGAGUAGCGAGAGGUGAGUGAGAAUCUCACCCGUCGAAAACCCAAGGAUUCCUGAGCAAGGCUCGUCCACUCAGGGUAAGUCGGGACCUAAGGCGAGGCUGAAAAGCGUAGUCGAUGGACAACAGGUGGAAAUUCCUGUACCGAUACAAUCAUUAAAGGAAGUGGGGACGCAGAAGGAUAAUAAGAGCGCCCAGUUGGUGAGGCGUGCAAGCGCAAAGGAUGGAAAGUAGGCAAAUCCGCUUUCCGAGAAGUCUGAAGCGUAAUGCGGAUCGAAAACAAGUAGAGAAGCUUAUGACUCCACACUGCCAAGAAAAGCCACUACUAGAGAAGUAUCGCCCGUACCGUAAACCGACACAGGUAGGUGAGGAGAGAAUCCUAAGACGAGCGGAAAAACCUUUGUUAAGGAACUCGGCAAAAUGACCCCGUAACUUCGGGAGAAGGGGAGCCCCUGUAAAAGGGGGCCGCAGUGAAAAGGCCCAAGCGACUGUUUACCAAAAACACAAGUUUCUGCUAAGUCGAAAGACGAAGUAUAGGAGCUGACACCUGCCCGGUGCUGGAAGGUUAAGGGAAAAAGUUAGCGUAAGCGAAGCUUAGAACUGAAGCCCCAGUAAACGGCGGCCGUAACUAUAACGGUCCUAAGGUAGCGAAAUUCCUUGUCGGGUAAGUUCCGACCCGCACGAAAGGUGUAACGAUUUGGG